GACGAACGCUGGCGGCGUGCUUAAUACAUGCAAGUCGAACGGAAAGGCCCUGCUUUUGUGGGGUGCUCGAGUGGCGAACGGGUGAGUAACAUGUGAGUAACCUGCCCUUGACUUUGGGAUAACUUCAGGAAACUGGGGCUAAUACCGGAUAGGAGCUCCUGCUGCAUGGUGGGGGUUGGAAAGUUUCGGCGGUUGGGGAUGGACUCGCGGCUCAUCAGCUUGUUGGUGGGGUAGUGGCUUACCAAGGCUUUGACGGGUAGCCGGCCUGAGAGGGUGACCGGCCACAUUGGGACUGAGAUACGGCCCAGACUCCUACGGUAGGCAGCAGUGGAGAAUAUUGCACAAUGGGCGGAAGCCUGAUGCAGCAACGCCGCGUGCGGGAUGACGGCCUUCGGGUUGUAAACCGCUUUCGCCUGUGACGAAGCGUGAGUGACGGUAAUGGGUAAAGAAGCACCGGCUAACUACGUG
rnacentral:rRNA from 1 species